UCCCCAGUGGCUCUGUUGGUAAAGAAUCUGCCUGCAAUGCAGGAGACCCAGGUUUGAGCCCUGGGUAGGGAA
rfam:TPA: Bos taurus chromosome 9, whole genome shotgun sequence.